rnacentral:rRNA from 1 species
UACGUAGGGUGCGAGCGUUGUCCGGAAUUAUUGGGCGUAAAGAGCUCGUAGGCGGUUUGUCACGUCUGCUGUGAAAUCCCGAGGCUCAACCUCGGGCCUGCAGUGGGUACGGGCAGACUGGAGUGCGGUAGGGGAGAAUGGAAUUCCUGGUGUAGCGGUGGAAUGCGCAGAUAUCAGGAGGAACACCGAUGGCGAAGGCGGUGCUCUGGGCCGUAACUGACGCUGAGGAGCGAAAGCGUGGGGAGCGAACAGG